AAUCUGCAGUCAAUGCAUCAGAGAAGGGAGGGGUGUUUGCAACUAUAGAAGGUAGUCUACAGUUACUCCCUAGGAGAAGGGAGUUUAGGCUGGCAAACCCAGACAAGGGGGAAAGCCUAAAAGGCUCAGGGGAAAAGCAGCAAGGAAUAGGAUAGUGCAGCCCUUGGCUGCUGAGGAGAGAAUCUCUCAGUUGGAACCUGGAGUAGAGGGCAGGCCUGGGUUCCCCUACCAGCCACUGGGGAAAUGGCAUAGACCAAGCGGUGGAGAGUGGACUGUCUGAGACAACUCAUGGUUUGAUACCCUGGAAGGGAGUAACCUGGCUUGGGGGCUGAAUUGCAAAGAGGAGGCAGUGGCUCCUGGGGCAACAGAGGGGUGAAAGAGACAGAAUGUGGCAGAGCAACUGCAGGAAGGGGUGUCAGCUGGCAGAGCUAAUCCCCAGACGUGCCAGGAGGCGGAACCCUCCAGUGGCUCUGCCGCCUUCCCCUGCAGAGACCCCAGAUCCAAGGAGCACCAUCCGUAAUAUCCAGGAUGCCUGAGAGAGAAGUAGUGCCAGAAAGAUGCCUGACAUCCCUACCACCUUCGGCACAGGAGGGUAACACCUGAGGACACGGAAAUAUGGCUUUACACAGAAAAGAAACAGCCCUCCACACUCACAAAUAUCCAUGUUCAUAGAUUCAUGGCUUUUAAAGUUUCUCCUCUCACUCCAGACAGAUGAACUAUUCUAAUACGAAGAUUAAACCCAACUGUACCGCGGCCACACACUUAAAUCACAUGGUAGAUGGCAAAUCAACUAACGUCGCCUGAACCAAAACUAUUACGUGUAACGGAUUGCUGCAUAAUUUGAAUCUUCCAGGACAUGGAGGGCUCAGAGCUAGAAGUGCAUGUCUGCAGUAGUCAAUUGUGGAUGGGAGCAACUUGGCUGUUAUGAAAGGAGAUGCAUAAGUGAGAGAGGAUUGGAGGAAUAAUGGGUGGAAAAAAUGAUGUGAAAAAGUACAUUAAUGACAACAGAGUGAGAAGAGAAAGAAAGGCACCGUUUUUUCUCAGGGUUACAGAGAAGAAAAGCAUAAGAAAAUUCUGUAUCUGCUUAAAGCCUUUGAAGCUAUAUUUAGGCCCCAUCUACAAUUUACUGAACAUUGUAUAAACCUUGUAUGCACUUCCAGAUAACAGUUUAAAUACGGUUUUGGCCAGCUACGAUGAACAUAACCAGACUGAAUGCUGUUGAGAGUAUUUAUUAUUUAUUUCAGUUUCCAAAAUGUGUUCUGGUUACAUGUAUGUCAGUACACAAACAGCAGUUAGGACCAGUGUCUAACAAUUAGACUCUCCACAAAUUCCCAGAAUUCUCCUGGCCAUCACACAACAGACACCCAACUCCUCCUCCUCUCUCCCUCCUUCCUUACAACAAUUCAUUCCUCCUCCACAUGAGAGAAGCUUAUAUCUAAAAUUAGUUAAAAUCACACCUUUACCCCCACCCAUACUAGCUGGA